UUGACGGGGCCCGCACAAGCGGUGGAGUAUGUGGUUUAAUUCGAUGCAACGCGAAGAACCUUACCUGGUCUUGACAUCCCGGAGACCCUUAGGAAACUAGGGGGUGCUUCCAUCUGGAAGAAUCUGGAGACAGGUGCUGCAUGGCUGUCGUCAGCUCGUGUCGUGAGAUGUUGGGUUAAGUCCCGCAACGAGCGCAACCCUUGCUUUUAGUUGCCAGCAGUUCGGCUGGGCACUCUAAAGGGACUGCCGGUGUUAAACCGGAGGAAGGUGGGGAUGACGUCAAGUCCUCAUGGCCUUUAUGACCAGGGCUACACACGUACUACAAUGGCCGAUACAAAGGGCAGCGACACUGCGAGGUGAAGCCAAUCCCGUAAAAUCGGUCUCAGUCCGGAUUGGAGUCUGCAACUCGACUCCAUGAAGUUGGAAUCGCUAGUAAUCGUGGAUCAGCAUGCCACGGUGAAUACGUUCCCGGGCCUU
rnacentral:rRNA from 1 species